rnacentral:rRNA from 1 species
UGCCCUAUCAACUUUCGAUGGUAGGAUAGUGGCCUACCAUGGUGGCAACGGGUAACGGGGAAUUAGGGUUCGAUUCCGGAGAGGGAGCCUGAGAAACGGCUACCACAUCCAAGGAAGGCAGCAGGCGCGCAAAUUACCCAAUCCCGAUACGGGGAGGUAGUGACAAUAAAUACUGAUACGGGGCUCUUUUGGGUCUCGUAAUUGGAAUGAGAACAAUUUAAAUCCCUAACGAUAUC